UAGGGAAUCUUCGGCAAUGGACGAAAGUCUGACCGAGCAACGCCGCGUGAGUGAAGAAGGUUUUCGGAUCGUAAAACUCUGUUGUUAGAGAAGAACAAGGACGUUAGUAACUGAACGUCCCCUGACGGUAUCUAACCAGAAAGCCACGGCUAACUACGUGCCAGCAGCCGCGGUAAUACGUAGGUGGCAAGCGUUGUCGGGAUUUAUUGGGCGUAAAGCGAGCGCAGGCGGUUUCUUAAGUCUGAUGUGAAAGCCCCCGGCUCAACCGGGGAGGGUCAUUGGAAACUGGGAGACUUGAGUGCAGAAGAGGAGAGUGGAAUUCCAUGUGUAGCGGUGAAAUGCGUAGAUAUAUGGAGGAACACCAGUGGCGAAGGCGGCUCUCUGGUCUGUAACUGACGCUGAGGCUCGAAAGCGUGGGGAGCAAACAGG
rnacentral:rRNA from 1 species